CCUAUGGGCGGCUGCAGUGGGGAAUAUUGGACAAUGGGGGCAACCCUGAUCCAGCCAUGCCGCGUGUGUGAAGAAGGCCCUCGGGUUGUAAAGCACUUUCAGUGAGGAAGAACGCCUGGUGGUUAAUACCCAUAAGGAAAGACAUCACUCACAGAAGAAGCACCGGCUAACUCCGGGCCAGCAGCCGCGGUAAUACGGAGGGUGCGAGCGUUAAUCGGAAUUACUGGGCGUAAAGCGCGCGUAGGUGGCUUGAUAAGCCGGUUGUGAAAGCCCCGGGCUCAACCUGGGAACGGCAUCCGGAACUGUCAAGCUAGAGUGCAGGAGAGGAAGGUAGAAUUCCCGGUGUAGCGGUGAAAUGCGUAGAGAUCGGGAGGAAUACCAGUGGCGAAGGCGGCCUUCUGGACUGACACUGACACUGAGGUGCGAAAGCGUGGGUAGCAAACAGGAUUAGAUACCCUUGUAGUC
rnacentral:rRNA from 1 species